rnacentral:lncRNA from 1 species
AUGCUGCGCGGCUCUGCACGCCGACCGCUCCAGCUCACCUGGGCGGGCAUCUCCCGGUAUCACCCCCCAGCUCCAGCUCACGUGGGAAGGCAUCUCCCGGGACCGCCCCCCCCCCCCAGCUCCAGGUCACGUGGGCGGGCAUCUCCCGGAUCCCCCCCCCAGCUCCAGGUCACGUGGGCGGGCAUCUCCCGGGAUCCCCCCCCAGCUCCAGCUCACCUGGGCGGGCAUCUCCCGGAUUCCCCCCCAGCUCCAGCUCACCUGGGCGGGCAUCUCCCGGAUUCCCCCCCAGCUCCAGCUCACGUGGGCGGGCAUCUCCCGGAUUCCCCCCCCAGCUCCAGGUCACGUGGGCGGGCAUCUCCCGGGAUCCCCCCCCCAGCUCCAGCUCACCUGGGCGGGCAUCUCCCGGAUUCCCCCCCAGCUCCAGCUCACCUGGGCGGGCAUCUCCCGGAUUCCCCCCCAGCUCCAGCUCACGUGGGCGGGCAUCUCCCGGGAUCCCCCCCCAGCUCCAGCUCACCUGGGCGGGCAUCUCCCGGGAUCCCCCCCCAGCUCCAGCUCACCUGGGCGGGCAUCUCCCGGAUUCCCCCCCAGCUCCAGCUCACGUGGGCGGGCAUCUCCCGGAUCCCCCCCCCCAGCUCCAGCUCACGUGGGCGGGCAUCUCCCGGAUUCCCCCCCCAGCUCACGUGGGCGAGCAUCUCCCGGGACCCCCCCAGCUCCAGCUCACGUGGGCGGGCAUCUCCCGGGACCCCCCUCAUCUCCAGCUCACGUGGGCGGGCAUCUCCCGGGAUCCCCCCCCACCCCAGGUUCUCGGCUGGGCUCCCCACAGGGCAGGUUCAGCGGCUGCGGAUGGGGGGACAGGGGGCGCGGGGCGCCCUCACUUCUGCUCUGACCUCCUGGGCCUGGAGGUUCCCUCCAGCUCCCCAAGUUCCUGCGCGCCCCUGUGCAGCUGGGAGGCGGGCACCCGCUCGACGGGGCACCCAGCAAAGUGGGAGUGAAACGCGCGCGAGUCGUGGGGUCCGGUCUCCCUGGCUUUCCUUGGCUUAG